rnacentral:rRNA from 1 species
AUGUUCAGAGUAGAUCCAGAUCAAUGUGUAUUAGAAUUGGAUCAGUCAAGGAAAAUUCCAAUCACUGACCAAGACGUAAUUGCUUUGGACAAGAUCGAAAAAUCGAGCAGGCACAUCGCACAGAAUAUCCUCCCCCGUGUCAAAGUUUUCGAUCAUGAGUUAGUUAAGAAGGCAAUUGACUCAAUUACAUCCCACCAAGGACAAGAAGUUAUUUAUGCUGGUUUAGAAUGUGUUCUCAACCAGGUGGCCAAGUUAAAAGUUCACCAUCCCAACCAGAUCACAAACAACAUUUGCGCCCCCUCCUAUUUGAAGUUCCCGGUUCACGCUGCUAAUAAGAUUAAGCCACGAAGCUCUAUUGGACCUGUAGAGUUUGCGAACAUAAUGGGACGGAAGUACCCGAACAUGGCAGAUGACCUCAUUGGAAUCGUUCUGAAGGAGCACAACACGAGGCUUAUGGCAAACAUGACCGAGAUACGACACACCACCCAAAUUGACAUGCUAAAAUUUCUUGACGAGCUAGCUGGAUGUUUGUCGAGCAGAUGCCAAAACAAGAAGCACCAGAAUAACCAACCAGGCAGUUUUGUUCAUGACGGCAACCACGACAAUCUAUCAGUGUCACAGGCUAGACCAGAUAGGGCCACCGAAUCUUCCGCUGACCUAAUGAGCCUUGUUUACUACAAUGAUCAUCUUUUUUCCAGUAUCGUACUUUCUUACGAGGAUUGCACAGGAGUUUGUUUCUCACAGUUAACAGCCACGGCCCCACCCGCCAUAGAUUUAUCAUGCAAAUCAUUUGUGUCAGACCCAUGA